UAUAUACUCCCUCCGUUCGGAAUUACUCGUCCAAGAAAUGAAUGUAUCUAGAUGUAUUUUAGUUGUAGAUACAUCCAUUUUUGUGACAAGUAUUUCCGAAUGGAGGGAAUACUAG
rnacentral:pre_miRNA from 1 species